CUCUGCUGCUGCUUCUGCUGCUACUUCUAAAUUCUAAUCUUCUUCUAAGUUUCUUCUAAUCUUAUUCUAAUCUUCCUAAAUUUUUUUAAUUUUUCAAAUCAAAUUCAAUUUGUUUUCUUUUUUUGAAUUUAACUUCAAUUGAAGUUAAAGUUUAUUAUGGUGUUUAUUGUACAGGAAAUAUUAAGGGAAAGAAAUACUGUAGUGUAAACUGUAGGUCUGAUCAGAGCGCCUCCUGAACGGUGGAGGCGGCUCUCAGAAAUCUGAGCGCCUGGCGCUGCGUUCCGCUCCGCCUUUGACAGCAUAGGUUGCAACUAAACUAGAUCUGACAGCUUGAUAUGUAUAGAAUUGUUAUCUUCACUUUAAAGUUACUAAUUUGAGAUUGUAAGAUAUCAUAACAUAAUGCCUAUUCUUUUCUUCUAUAAAAAAAUUAGCAAAAAGCAAUUUGUACAUAUCAUAAUACAACAAUACUUUAUAAACAUGUAUAUAUCUUGUUGUGAAUAUAAUCUUAUUAUUUUACCUAUGUAGAUGAAGAGACAGUGUUGAAGAACACCACAGAUCCGCCUGUCAAGAAGGAGAGGAAAGCAAAAUGCAGAGACCACCCUUUGGUUCUCUUCUCUCUCUCAAGAGUUUAUUGACCUGCUUUAAUGUAGUCAACAGCCAUCGGAAUACAACGAGUCCUACUUGUAUUGGGACAAGUACUAGAUUAUUACUGUAAAAAUUUGUGGUUCUAAGUUCCAUCAUACUUGUUUUGAUCUCAAGUUUUCUUU
rnacentral:lncRNA from 1 species